UUUCCGUAAGGUGAACCUGCGGAAGGAUCAUUGUCNAAACCUGCAAAAGCAAGAAAGACCAGCGGACCCAUU
rnacentral:rRNA from 1 species